rnacentral:tRNA from 1 species
GCCGAGGUGGUGAAAUUGGUAGACACGCCAGAUUUAGGAUCUGGUGCUCUUUGGGCGUGAAGGUUCGAUUCCUUUCCUCGGUA